UGUGAAGCCCAUUUCUGGUGUCCCCCGCCGUGAUGUUGCUGGAAUAUUGCUAAAAGCGGCGUUGGUAACAAUUGCAGACAAUAGAGUUCCCUUUCAUCAUGUUAAAGGUAAACCUACCUGUAAGGUCGUUGUACUAGAUUUCUGUUAAGGUGGAAGCUUAGAAACAACAUUAACCUCUGCCAAUGGGAGCAAUA